GACGAACGCUGGCGGCGGGCUUAACACAUGCAAGUCGAACGGAAAGGCCGCUUUCGCGUGGUCCUCGAGUGGCGGACGGGCGGGUAACACGUGAGUAACCCGCCCUCUACUUUUUGAUAGCGUCAGGAAACGGGGACUAUAACCUGAUAGGAGCUCCGGCCUCCGGGUGGGGGCUGGAAAUUUUCGGCGGUUGGGGGUGGGCUUGCGGCGUAUCCGCUUGUUGGUGGGGGAGUGGCUUACCCAGGCUUUGGCGGGUAGCCGGCCUGAGAGGGUGAGCGGCCACAUUGGGACUGAGAUAAGGCCCAGACUCCUACGGGAGGCAGCAGUGGGGAAUAUUGCACAAUGGGUGGAAGCCUGAUGCAGCAACGCCGUGUGCGGGAUGACGGCCUUCGGGUUGUAAACCGCUUUCGCUCAUGACGAAGCUUUGUGUGACGGUAGUGGGUAAAGAAGCACCGGCUAACUACGUG
rnacentral:rRNA from 1 species